ACACGUGACACGGGGUGCCCUCUGGGGGCUGAGAUAAGACCCGUUGAACCUGAUCCAGUUUGGACUGGCGGAGGGAUUGUCACGGGGACGCUCC
rnacentral:ncRNA from 2 species